rnacentral:rRNA from 1 species
GAGCGGCGUACGGGUGCGUAACACGUGUGCAACCUACCUUUAUCAGGGGAAUAGCCUUUCGAAAGGAAGAUUAAUACUCCAUAAUAUAUAAUCAGGCAUCUGAUUUUAUUGAAAACUCCGGUGGAUAGAGAUGGGCACGCGCAAGAUUAGAUAGUUGGUGAGGUAACGGCUCACCAAGUCAUUGAUCUUUAGGGGUCCUGAGAGGGAGAUCCCCCACACUGGUACUGAGACACGGACCAGACUCCUACGGGAGGCAGCAGUGAGGAAUAUUGGACAAUGGGUGAGAGCCUGAUCCAGCCAUCCCGCGUGAAGGAUGACGGUCCUACGGAUUGUAAACUUCUUUUGUAUAGGAAUAAACCCAGAUACGUGUAUUUGGCUGAAGGUACUAUACGAAUAAGCACCGGCUAACUCCGUGCCAGCAGCCGCGGUAAUACGGAGGGUGCAAGCGUUAUCCGGAUUUAUUGGGUUUAAAGGGUCCGCAGGCGGACCGAUAAGUCAGUGGUGAAAUCUCAUAGCUUAACUAUUGAAACUGCCGUUGAUACUGUCGGUCUUGAGUAAAUUAAAGGUAGCUUGGAAUAAGUAGUGUAGCGGUGAAA